UGACCAACCUUAAAGUUAGAACUAUGAUUUCUCUCAUCCUUUGGUCACUGUGUUACAUUCAAGGUUCUUUGGGUCAGGUUGUGACUCAGUCUGGAAAUCAGAGAGUGGAUCCUGGUAAAACUGUUACUAUUGAAUGUAAACACACACCAGCAGUAUUCUGUAUUAAAGAAACAGGUUCCUCUCAGUAUUGCAUGGCCUGGUAUCAUCAGAAUCUUGGAGAAGCUCCUAAACUCCUGAUCUCUUCCACAUCUGAUAGAGCUUCAGGAGUUUCCUCUAGAUUCAGUGGCAGUGAGAGUGGAAACCACAUUGAUUUUACUUUGACCAUCAGUGACGUUCAGCCUGAAGAUUCAGGAGAUUAUUACUGUCAGAGUGCACACAACAGAGGAGACAAUAAGAACAAAGACUGGGUGUUCACACAGUGUUACAGCGUCAUACAAAAACCUCUCCUGUAA